rnacentral:rRNA from 1 species
AUACGGAGGAUGCGAGCGUUAUCCGGAUUUAUUGGGUUUAAAGGGUGCGUAGGCUGUGCGUUAAGUCAGGGGUGAAAUGCCGUUGCUCAACAUCGGAGCUGCCCUUGAUACUGGCGUGCUAGAGUACGGAUGCCGUUGGAGGAAUGAGUAGUGUAGCGGUGAAAUGCAUAGAUAUUACUCAGAACACCGAUUGCGAAGGCAUCUGACGAAUCCGUAACUGACGGUGAGGCACGAAAGCGUGGGGAUAGAACAGGAUUAGAUACCCUGGUAUUCCACGCCGUAAACGAUGAUGACUAACCGCCGGCGACAGACCGAUCGGUGGCCAAGCGAAAGCGAUAAGUCAUCCACCUGGGGAGUACGACCGCAAGGUUGAAACUCAAAUGAAUUGGCGGGG